UACAGAGGGGGCAAGCGUUAUUCGGAAUUAUUGGGCGUAAAGGGCGCGUAGGCGGCCUGGCAAGUGGAAGGUGAAAUCCCUCGGCUUAACCGAGGAACUGCCCUCCAAACUGCUUGGCUUGAGACCGGGAGAGGUGGGUGGAAUUCCCAGUGUAGCGGUGAAAUGCGUAGAUAUUGGGAGGAACACCAGUGGCGAAGGCGGCUCACUGGACCGGUACUGACGCUGAGGCGCGAAAGCGUGGGGAGCAAACGGG
rnacentral:rRNA from 1 species